rnacentral:rRNA from 1 species
UACGUAGGGUGCGAGCGCUAAUCGGAAUUACUGGGCGUAAAGCGUGCGCAGGCGGUUCGUUGUGUCCGAUGUGAAAGCCCCGGGCUUAACCUGGGAAUGGCAUUGGAAACUGGCGAGCUUGAGUGCGGCAGAGGGGGGUGGAAUUCCGCGUGUAGCAGUGAAAUGCGUAGAUAUGUGGAGGAACACCGAUGGCGAAGGCAGCCCCCUGGGUCAAGACUGACGCUCAUGCACGAAAGCGUGGGGAGCAAACAGG